UUUUGCAAAAAAAAAAUUGGUAGGGCUAAAGGAAUGGGCAGAUGAGGAUGUACUAAAGAUACACUAUACUGGUGACUCGUCAGACACAUGUAUUUUCGAAAACACACUAACUAAAAACAAAAUAAAACAAAGUAAUCAACUGAAAAGCAAUAAAAAUAAACAAUCUAACUAAAAACAGCAAAGGGAAAUAGAAAGCGAUAAAAU
rnacentral:lncRNA from 1 species